ACAAUGGGCGAAAGCCUGAUGCAGCAACGCCGCGUGAGUGAUGAAGGCCUUCGGGUUGUAAAGCUCUGUCUUCUGGGACGAUAAUGACGGUACCAGAGGAGGAAGCCACGGCUAACUACGUGCCAGCAGCCGCGGUAAUACGUAGGCGGCAAGCGUUGUCCGGAUUUACUGGGCGUAAAGGAUGCGUAGGCGGAUACUUAAGUCAGAUGUGAAAAUCCCGGGCUUAACUUGGGAACUGCAUUUGAAACUGGGUAUCUAGAGUGCGGGAGAGGAAAGUGGAAUUCCUAGUGUAGCGGUGAA
rnacentral:rRNA from 1 species